AUUGAACGCUGGCGGCAUGCCUUACACAUGCAAGUCGAACGGUAACAGGUCUUCGGAUGCUGACGAGUGGCGAACGGGUGAGUAAUACAUCGGAACGUGCCUAGUAGUGGGGGAUAACUACUCGAAAGAGUGGCUAAUACCGCAUGAGAUCUACGGAUGAAAGCAGGGGAUCGCAAGACCUUGUGCUACUAGAGCGGCCGAUGGCAGAUUAGGUAGUUGGUGGGAUAAAAGCUUACCAAGCCGAGGAUCUGUAGCUGGUCUGAGAGGACGAUGCGCCAGCCUGGGACUGAGACACGGGCCAGACUCCGACGGGAGGCAGCAGUGGGGAAUUUUGGACAAUGGGCGAAAGCCUGAUCCGGCAAUGCCGCGUGCAGGAUGAAGGCCUUCGGGUUGUAAACUGCUUUUGUACGGAACGAAAAGCCCCGGGUUAAUACCCUGGGGUCAUGACGGUGCCGUAAGAAUAAGCACCGGCUAACUACGUGCCAGCCGCCGCCGUAA
rnacentral:rRNA from 1 species